CCCACGAUACACCCAGCCAUCUCUUGCCAAUACAGCCUACAUACCGCCGUCGCCAGCCCGCCUAAUGAAAGAACAAUAGCGAGCACAAUAGCCACUUCGCUAACAAGA
rnacentral:rRNA from 1 species